UCUGGUGUCAGCCGCCGCGGUAAAACCAGCACCUCGAGUGGUCAGGAGGUUUAUUGGGCCUAAAGCAUCCGUAGCCGGUUGUUUAAGUUUUCGGUUAAAUCUAUGCGCUUAACGUAUAGGCUGCCGAAAAUACUGGACAGCUAGGGAGUGGGAGAGGUACACGGUACUCAAUAGGAAGGGGUAAAAUCCUUUGAUCUGUUGAUGACCACCUGUGGCGAAGGCGGUGUACCAGAACACGUUCGACGGUGAGGGAUGAAAGCUGGGGGAGCAAACCGGAUUAGAUACCCGGGUAGUCCCAGCUGUAAACGAUGCAAACUCGGUGAUGCAUUGGCUUGUGGCCAAUGCAGUGCCGCAGGGAAGCCGUUAAGUUUGCCGCCUGGGAAGUACGUACGCAAGUAUGAAACUUAAAGGAAUUGGCGGGGGAGCACCACAAGGGGUGAAGCCUGCGGUUCAAUUGGAGUCAACGCCAGAAAUCUUACCCGGAGCGACAGCAGAAUGAAGGUCAAGCUGAAGACUUUACCAGACAAGCU
rnacentral:rRNA from 2 species